rnacentral:rRNA from 1 species
GAGUUUGAUCCUGGCUCAAGAUGAACGCUGGCGGCGUGCUUAACACAUGCAAGUCGAACGGAGCGCUACCGACGGAACUUUUCGGAGGGAAGAUGGUAAUGACUGAGUGGCGGACGGGUGAGUAACGCGUGGGUAACCUGCCUCACAGAGGGGGACAACAGCCGGAAACGGCUGCUAAUACCGCAUAACAAGGGAUUGCCGCAUGACGAUCCUUUCAAAGAUUUAUCGCUGUGAGAUGGACCCGCGUCUGAUUAGCUUGUUGGUGGGGUAACGGCCUACCAAGGCGACGAUCAGUAGCCGGCUUGAGAGAGUGAACGGCCACAUUGGGACUGAGACACGGCCCAGACUCCUACGGGAGGCAGCAGUGGGGAAUAUUGCACAAUGGGGGAAACCCUGAUGCAGCGACGCCGCGUGAGUGAAGAAGUAUUUCGGUAUGUAAAGCUCUAUCAGCAGGGAAGAUAAUGACGGUACCUGACUAAGAAGCCCCGGCUAACUACGUGCCAGCAGCCGCGGUAAUACGUANGGGGCAAGCGUUAUCCGGAUUUACU